AGGUACAAGAGAUAGUUACUUGACUAGCUCAAGAGGAAAGUCCGAGCUGCUGUAAGACAGUGUUCCAUUUAACGAAUGGCCGUAGUAAUGCGAGGGAAAGUGCAACAGAGAUUAGACUUCUGCGUUUAUUCGUAGUAAAGGUGAAAAGGUGCGUGUAAGAGACCACCAGUUUCUAUAGCAAUAUAGAGAGCUUGUAAACCCAACAUGGCAGCAAGAAACAGAUGGUUAGCGUCUUACAAUGCUUUUGUUUCGCUGGAUGCACUAUGUAAAUUGUGCAGUAGAUUAAUGCUAUAAAAACAAAACUCGGCUUAUCUUGUACCUUCUA
rnacentral:RNase_P_RNA from 1 species